GCGAGUUAUGAUGCCUCGAGGAGAAGAGGGAUUGGUUGGUGGAUGUUGGUUCGUGGUUUAUUAUAUAGAAAUUGGUAUGAUGGCUUGGUCAGGUGUAGGUGUAGAUGUAGGAGGGACAGUAGUGGGUUGGAACGUUGAUAUAGUGGGUUGUUCAGGUAUAGGGGCAGAUGUGGGAGGUUCAGUAAUUGGUUGGGAUUGGGCAUGUGAUGGAAAUGGUGACACAUCAGAAGUAACGGGUAAUGCCAUGGAAGACCACUCUGAGGUAGUGGAUGAAGUGACACGAGGGAGACUGGAAUGAGAAUUAGCACAAGGAAACACAGAUUCCACAAAGUGGACAUAACGAGAUGUGUACAAACGGUUGUUGGGUGUGUCUAGACAGAG
rnacentral:lncRNA from 1 species